rnacentral:rRNA from 1 species
UACGUAGGGGGCAAGCGUUGUCCGGAUUUAUUGGGCGUAAAGAGCGUGUAGGCGGCCAAGCAGGUCAGCUGUGAAAACUCGAGGCUCAACCUCGAGACGUCGGUUGAAACCGCUUGGCUAGAGUCCGGAAGAGGAGAGUGGAAUUCCCGGGUGUAGCGGUGAAAUGCGCAGAUAUCAGGAAGAACACCCCGUGGCGAAGGCGGUUU